rnacentral:rRNA from 1 species
CGGAGGGUGCAAGCAUUGAUCGGAAUUACUGGGCGUAAAGGGCGCGUAGGCGGCUGGAAAAGUCGGAUGUGAAAUUCCGGGGCUCAACCCCGGAGCUGCAUUUGAAACUUCUAGCUAGAGGUAGGUAAGGGAAAACGGAAUUCCACGUGUAGCGGUGAAAUGCGUAGAGAUGUGGAAGAACACCGGUGGUGAAGACGGUUUUCUGUGCCUGACCUGACGCUGAGGCGCGAAAGCUAGGGGAGCAAACAGGAUUAGAUACCCUGGUAGUCCUAGCUGUAAACGAUGCAUACUGGAUGUAGGAAGGCUCAACCCUUUCUGUAUCGGAGCUAACGCGUUAAGUAUGCCGCCUGGGGAGUACGCUCGCAAGGGUG